GCCGCAGACUCGUGACCCGGAGCAGCUCGGAGCCGGUGAAUAAUAGCUCUUCAAGUCUGCAAUAAAAAAUGGCCUCCAAUAAAACUACAUUGCAAAAAAUGGGAAAAAAGCAGAAUGGAAAGAGUAAAAAGGUUGAAGAGGCAGAGCCUGAAGAAUUUGUGGUGGAAAAAGUUCUGGAUCGAUGAGUAGUAAAUGGGAAGGUGGAGUAUUUCCUGAAGUGGAAGGGAUUUACAGAUGCUGAUAAUACUUGGGAACCUGAAGAAAAUUUAGAUUGUCCAGAGUUAAUUGAAGCAUUUCUUAAUUCUCAAAAAGCUGGUAAAGAAAAGGAUGGUACAAAAAGAAAAUCUUUAUCUGACAGUGAAUCAGAUGAUAGCAAAUCAAAGAAGAAAAGAGAUGCUGCUGACAAACCAAGAGGCUUUGCCAGAGGUCUUGAUCCUGAAAGAAUAAUUGGUGCCACAGACAGCAGCGGAGAAUUAAUGUUUCUUAUGAAGUGGAAAGAUUCAGAUGAGGCAGAUUUGGUGCUGGCAAAAGAAGCAAACAUGAAGUGUCCUCAAAUUGUUAUUGCUUUUUAUGAAGAGAGACUAACUUGGCAUUCUUGUCCAGAAGAUGAAGCUCAAUAAUUGUUUGCAUUGCUUUUUAUAUAUAUUUAUAUAUA